UAAAACUUUAUUCACUUCAAAAACUCACUCAGCUGAGUAGCAUUGAGAACUUUGUCUAGAUACUCAUGUUGCAACAGAACAAAGGGUGGGGAAAAAAUGUAAUUGUAAUGUAUACAUGUAAGGAUAACUUGAUUCCCUUGCUGUACAGUGGGGAAAAAAAAAACAACUCACUCAGUAAGCGUUUGUUGAGCACAUAUUAAGGCUCUUCGUUAGGGCACAUGAAAAUGAACUGAACAAAGUCUGCUCAGUCUAGUGGAUGAGACAUCGUAUAAACACAAAUACUUACAAUCAUCUGAUAAAAAAUACAGAAUCAUGAUAUGAACGAGCUUCUGUGGAAACACAGAAGAGGAAGUCCCUGACUGCCUGGAGAAGUCAGGAGAGGUUUUUUGAACAAAGUGAUUUCCAGGCAGAAAGAAAACAAACAGCAAGGGAAUGACAGUAGGGGUGUUUCAGGAACAGUGAGUACCACACUUUAAUAAGCCUUGAGUACCCGGUGUCUGAAAGGGCGGGGCAGGAGGUGAGGUGGAAGCUGUGGGCAAGAACCAAUCGUCAAGGGUUUUCAGAGGAGUUUGGACUUUAUCCUGGAGGUCCUGGGAAACCUUGGAAAGCCAGGUGUCUUUUCCAGGGGAUCAUCAGGCAUCCUGAACCAGGAGAACAGGGCUCUCGCUGGAACUGCACCCAUCACCGCUGUGGAGCCGGGGCCUCGCUUCUCACAAAGGGCUUCCAGACCACAGAUGAGCACAGUAGACUACUCUGAGGGGUGAGUUUGACUGGGGCACUCCCCAACAGUCUUAACAAGCUCUCAGAACUGCACUCACCUACGGUCCUGUGACCCAAAACCUGGGUUCAAAAACUGGGUUCACCUCCGUGGGGGUUGAGCUAAGACACAACCUAGCCAAAGACUGGGAGAAGGAAGGAUUUGUUAUUCCUCGUAGCAAGUUAAGGAGACCACCAGGGAUCUUUCCCAAAGUAGUGUUACCCUGAGCAGCAAAAUUGGGGAAGUUUUCAGCUGAGGGUACGUGCAUAUUCAUGAAGGGGCCUGAACUGAGGAGAAUUCGGCAAAAAAUUGGGGCCGAGGUCCACAGAGUCUCAACUUUUGUUGCUUGAAGUCAGGAGAAUCAACAUCAUCCUUCUGUCUUCCACCUGGGUGGGGGCCUUGGCUCCUGCAGAACUCAGAGAUAUAUUAGUAUGUGUUUCCCUUGAGGAAGAGCCAGGACUCUGCUUUGGGGCUGCAUU
rnacentral:lncRNA from 1 species